GACGAACGCUGGCGGCGUGCUUAACACAUGCAAGUCGAACGGAAAGGCCCUGCUUGCAGGGUACUCGAGUGGCGAACGGGUGAGUAACACGUGGGUGAUCUGCCCUGCACUUCGGGAUAAGCCUGGGAGACUGGGUCUAAUACCGGAUAGGAGCCAUUUUUAGUGUGAUGGUUGGAAAGUUUUUUCGGUGUAGGAUGAGCUCGCGGCCUAUCAGCUUGUUGGUGGGGUAAUGGCCUACCAAGGCGGCGACGGGUAGCCGGCCUGAGAGGGUGGACGGCCACAUUGGGACUGAGGUACGGCCCAGACUCCUACGGGAGGCAGCAGUGGGGAAUAUUGCACAAUGGGCGCAAGCCUGAUGCAGCGACGCCGCGUGGGGGAUGACGGCCUUCGGGUUGUAAACUCCUUUCGCUAGGGACGAAGCUUUUUGUGACGGUACCUAGAUAAGAAGCACCGGCUAACUACGUG
rnacentral:rRNA from 1 species